GACGAACGCUGGCGGCGUGCUUAACACAUGCAAGUCGAACGGAAAGGCCCUGCUUUUGUGGGGUGCUCGAGUGGCGAACGGGUGAGUAACACGUGAGUAACCUGCCCUUGACUUUGGGAUAACUUCAGGAAACUGGGGCUAAUACCGGAUAGGAGCUCCUGCUGCAUGGUGGGGGUUGGAAAGUUUCGGCGGGUGGGGAUGGACUCGCGGCUUAUCAGCUUGUUGGUGGGGUAGUGGCUUACCAAGGCUGUGACGGGUAGCCGGCCUGAGAGGGUGACCGGCCACCAUGGGACUGAGAUACGGACCAGACUCCUACGGGAGGCAGCAGUGGGGAAUAUUGCACAAUGGGCGGAAGCCUGAUGCAGCAACGCCGCGUGCGGGAUGACGGCCUUCGGGUUGUAAACCGCUUUCGCCUGUGACGAAGCGUGAGUGACGGUAAUGGGUAAAGAAGCACCGGCUAACUACGUG
rnacentral:rRNA from 1 species